rnacentral:piRNA from 1 species
UCAGUACCUAAGCUGCUUUUAUAGCCUUGA